rnacentral:rRNA from 1 species
GACGAACGCUGGCGGCGUGCCUAAUACAUGCAAGUAGAACGCACAGUUUAUACCGUAGCUUGCUACACGAUAGACGGUGAGUUGCGAACGGGUGAGUAACGCGUAGGUAACCUGCCUGGUAGCGGGGGAUAACUAUUGGAAACGAUAGCUAAUACCACAUAAUAUUAAUUAUUGCAUGAUAAUUAAUUGAAAGGUGCAAUUGCACCACUACCAGAUGGACCUGCGUGGUAUUAGCUAGUAGGUGAGGUAACGGACCACCUAGGCGACGAUACAUAGCCGAGCUUAGAGGGUGGACGGCCACACUGGGACCGGGACCCGGCCCAGACUCCCACGGGAGGCAGCAGUAGGGAAUUUUCGGCAAUGGACGAAAGUCUGACCGCGCAACGCCGCGUGAGUGAAGAAGGUUUUCGGAUCGGAAAGCUCUGUUGUAAGAGAAGAACGGGUGUGAGAGUGGAAAGUUCACACUGUGACGGUAUCUUACCAGAAAGGGACGGCUAACUACGUG